CCUCCAGGGUACCCUCAGCGACGCCACACCAGAUCCCAUCGCCGCUGCCGUCGCACUCGCAUCCCUCCGCCGCCGCCCUCGCACAUCAAGCCGCCGCAGAUCCAUCCAUUUGCCGCCGCCCUCGCACAUGAAGCCGCGGCUGAUCCCUGCGCUACCUCGAUGGGAGCCAUCGACCGUCUCGCUACAACUUGAAGCUGCAACUUGGGUGGUGCCAUGACUCCUUGUGCAGAGAAAACAAGACGAGGGGGAGGUCAAGGAGGAGCAGCAGGAGUGAGGAAAAGACGGCGGCGGAGAAGUCCCUGCUCGCGGAGAGCUCGAUCGGUGGUGACGAACUCCGAACCGCAUGUUCUGGCGACAGAGGGCUUGAACCGGUCGAUGGGAAGACCUGUAGGCGCGCGGCGGCUGCGGUUUGGGACGGCGGCGAAGCUGCAACUCGGACGAUGCCAUGGCUUCCUAUGCAGAGAAAACGGGACGAGGGGGAGGUCAGGGAGGAGCAGCAGGAGGAGUGAAGAAAAAAGGGCGGCGGAGAAGGCCCUGCUCGCCGGAGAGCUUGACUGGCGCCAACGCUCACUGCAGCGGGAGUAUGCUCGGGCGUACCGGCAUGAGAGCUGCAGUUGGUGGGAAUUGGCUGCGGGCAUAGGAACCGUGGAUUGAUCCCACGUACACACAGUGCGUGUCCCGGGGUCCCAGCCUCCAUCACUUCUUCCGUUCCGGCUUGCUUCAAGAACAAAAAAAUUCUGUGUGGAAGACCACUAGCAGAACUGAAUGUUUUAUAUAGCAGGGUAAGGAUACAUGCUUGUACUGCCUCUAUCAUAAAUUGCACAUGAGUUGAUUCCGAGUUUAGACAGCUAGCAAUCUGAAGGUCAUCAUAUAAGUGCAUCGAUAUGUAACGUGGUACAAUCAUGUUGAUGUACUCAUGAGAGAAGUUGCAUCACAUGCGGGCAUGAAGCAGAAGUUGCAUCACAUGCUCCACAUCCUAUCAGCGGACUUCCAAAGACUACAAGGAUGCGGAUUUGUUGAUGAUGGCUACAGAUGUUUCCAAGUAAGGCGAACGUGCCGUGAGGUGAUGCAUUGCCUCCAGUCCUUCUUUUUGAUUUACGUGGUAGGGCUGAAUCGACUGUUCAACAUUCAGAUUGAAAAGGUUGUAUUUUAUUCCCUGUGCUUUGAAAAAAUGCACCUUCUUAGUCCUUUAUACUUUACAAUCAUUUAGUAUAAAUUAUACUCUAUUUUGCAGAUCAACAAGCCAGGUUUUCCAUUGGUAGCUGGGUGAUUUUCAGUAGCAACUGGUGUAUUCUUAGUGGUCACAUUCCUGGUCAUGGUUUAUUAGGUUCAAAUAAUGGUGUUAUGGUGUGGAAAAUAUGGCUGAAGUCUAAAUACUUAAGUUUUGUUGUUUUCAGAACUUUAGCAUUGGAAUCUGUUUCGGAGCGGUGCCACUGACGUGUGCUUUAAUUAUCAGCUUCCUUCUUGGAAGUGUUGCAUUGAGGCUCCGAUGCUCCGGUGGGAACAACACACGCUCCUCGCUGCAUCUUAUCUCCUAUUUGUGAGGGCUAUCGUGGUCCAAUUAGCUUUCUUUGCACAUAUGCAGGCACUCAGCACAGUACACAUCUUCAGUAGCACUAGAAAUUCAUACUUAUUUAAUUGGCUUCCUUCUUCAGUGUUUGAUGAUUCAUUUUGAAGUGACCUGUUCUGAGAAGGCCCUUGGCAGCAACAAAAUGACUGGUGUUUGCAACAUUGUCCAUGUGUUAGUUCUCUGCUGUCAUAGCUCUAUUUAAGGUGUAUCAGCUUUGCAGUGGAUCAUGUUUUUCGUCGUGGGUCGAACUGAGGCCAAGACUGAUGAGUUGAAGGCGAGAACAAACUACUACUCUACCCAACAACUCAUACAGAGAUAUGGUCUUCACCCUGCUCAAGCUCAUCCACAUCGCUGUCACUAUAGCUGCUUCUGCGAGUCUCUUGUCAUCUUCUUCGUCGCCGGCUUGGUGCCUUUGCGAAUCUGCCGAGGAGUAUUGCGGAUGCCGCAUUCUUCCGAGCCGAAGAGGGGAGCUCGACGGAGAAGUACUUCUAGUCGCAGUACCUUGCGCCAGAACUUCCAGUGCCCCUGAGUGACCAGCUGAAGUAGAUGUCCGAGCUGUACAGGGUGGCCGGACUGGCCAUGAAGGAUGUAAUGGUCUGUCUGUGGCCGGCCGAGGCCAUACCUAUCAGCCACUUCGGGCUUGUGAAGCGGCUGGUGGAUGCGCUUCCUCGGAUCGAUACCCUCAAGUAGUCGUCCUGCAUAGAAGGUGCUUGGAUGGCCUUCGCCCGCGUCAAGGUUCAGUGGGCAAAGAUGAAGGCCACCGAGAUUGCCAUCGCGGGGGCCACCUAAAGGCAAGGAGCACCGGCGGCCAGAGAAGUAUUUUGAUGAGGUCCUCGAGGGGGCCUGCAUUCUAGAAGGCCAGUCCUCAAAGGACGUCAUAUUUGAAUAGUUGAGUCAUGUUUGUAAGAGUCAUGUAAUGAACUUAUGGUUUAAAAAUGGCUAUGCUUAUGUUUUAUGACUAGUUUAUCCUCCUAUUUGGCUGUUUAUAUGUCUGAAAGUUUACCAGUCGUCGGCUGAGGGAGUCCUGGACUAGGGGGUGUCCGGACAGCAGGACUAUCAUUAUCCGCCGGA